AACGUAGGAGACGAGCGUUAUCCGGAUUUACUGGGCGUAAAGGGCAAGUAGGCGGUAAGCAAAGUUGGGCGUGACAAUUCUCGGCUUAACUGAGAGGGGUCGUCCAAAACUAGCUAACUAGAGGGCAGGAGAGGGGAGUGGAAUUCCUAGUGUAGCGGUGGAAUGCUUAGAUAUUAGGAAGAACACCAGUGGCGAAGGCGACUCUCUGGCCUGACCCUGACGCUGAGAGGCGAAAGCUAGGGGAGCGAACGGGCUUAGAUACCCCGGUAGUCCUAGCUGUAAACGUUGGGUACUGGGUAUUGGGGGUCAACAAGCCCUCAGUGCCGAAGCGAACGCGUUAAGUAUCCCGCCUGGGGACUACGGCCGCAAGGUUAAA
rnacentral:rRNA from 1 species